rnacentral:tmRNA from 1 species
GGGUAGCAGAACUCGUAAAUUCGCUGCUGCAAACUUAUAGUUGCCAACGACGACAACUACGCUCUAGCUGCUUAAUGCGGCUAGCAGUCGCUAGGGGAUGCCUGUAAACCCGAAACGACUGUCAGAUAGAACAGGAUCGCCGCCAAGUUCGCUGUAGACGUAACGGCUAAAACUCAUACAGCUCGCUCCAAGCACCCUGCCACUCGGGCGGCGCGGAGUUAACUCAGUAGAGCUGGCUAAGCAUGUAGAA